rnacentral:rRNA from 1 species
UACAGAGGGUGCAAGCGUUGUUCGGAAUCAUUGGGCGUAAAGGGCGCGUAGGCGGCCUGCUAAGUCACACGUGAAAUCCCUCGGCUCAACCGGGGAACUGCGUGUGAUACUGGCGGGCUUGAAUUCGGGAGAGGGAUGUGGAAUUCCAGGUGUAGCGGUGAAAUGCGUAGAUAUCUGGAGGAACACCCAGUGGCGAAGGCGGCAUCCUGGACCGAGAUUGACGCUGAG